rnacentral:misc_RNA from 1 species
UCAAACUUGGUCAUUUAGAGGAAGUAAAAGUCGUAACAAGGUUUCCGUAGGUGAACCUGCGGAAGGAUCAUUAUUGAAUGUUACUUGAUGGGUUGUAGCUGGCUCUUCGGAGCAUGUGCACGCCUGUCUUGACUAACUAUUCAUCCACCUGUGCACACUUUGUAGUCUUUUGGGGGCUGAGGAAAGCGCGGCUGACUUGCUCGGUCGUGUUGAAUCUCCCUUGGGGAACUAUGUCUUUUAUUCAUACACCAUGUAGUAUGUUGCAGAAUGUAUUCAAUGGGCCUCUGUGCCUAUAAAACCUUAUACAACUUUCAGCAACGGAUCUCUUGGCUCUCGCAUCGAUGAAGAACGCAGC